GUGGGGAAUAUUGGACAAUGGGCGCAAGCCUGAUCCAGCCAUGCCGCGUGAGUGAUGAAGGCCCUAGGGUUGUAAAGCUCUUUCACCGGUGAAGAUAAUGACGGUAACCGGAGAAGAAGCCCCGGCUAACUUCGUGCCAGCAGCCGCGGUAAUACGAAGGGGGCUAGCGUUGUUCGGAAUUACUGGGCGUAAAGCGCACGUAGGCGGGGAGUUAAGUCAGGGGUGAAAUACCGGGGCUCAACUCCGGAACUGCCUUUGAUACUGGGUACCUAGAGUAUGGAAGAGGUAAGUGGAAUUCCGAGUGUAGAGGUGAAAUUCGUAGAUAUUCGGAGGAACACCAGUGGCGAAGGCGGCUUACUGGUCCAUUACUGACGCUGAGGUGCGAAAGCGUGGGGAGCAAACAGGAUUAGAAACCCUAGUAGUCC
rnacentral:rRNA from 1 species